ensembl:lncRNA
CUGUUACUACUUGCUCUUUGGGGUUACAGAGUGGGUGUCUGUACUGUUACUACCUGCUCUUUGGGGUUACAGACUGGGUGUCUGUACUGUUACUACUUACUCUUUGGGGUUACAGACUGGGUGUCUGUACUGUUACUACUUACUCUUUGGGGUUACAGACUGGGUGUCUGUACUGUUGCUACUUGCUCUUUGGGGUUACAGACUGGGAGUCUGUACUGUUGCUACUUGCUCUAUGGGGUUACAUUGCGACCACAGCUGAUGUAACAGGGCUUCAUGAAAUACAUUUGAUAGAUAGGGCUAUGCUCAAGCUACGCACUAUGUAGGGAAUAGAGUAUUUGGGAUGCCUCCUGGGAAAUAUAGCUAAUGGACUGGGCUGAAUAAGUACUUUUACGUAAGAUUUAGGGUGAACACUUCAAUUAAUAAAUCCACUUCACACCCGGUACCCGUGCCGUGUAUGGGCCCGGGGCCCGCCAAAACAUUGGAUGCUACCGGCAGAACAGGAAGAGAGCUGAGAGAUUCCCGACCACACAGCACAACGGGACAGAGAAACAGAGAGCGGUGUGCUGCAUGGACCACUGCCUGUGUAUUUUGUGUGUGGAUCUGGGGAGCCGCGCGCUGCUUUAAUUGGCCCGUGAGCCGCUCCAACAAGCUGCUCGUAUCACCCGCGGAACAUCGAACGCAGUCUAAGCAGAGAUGCCCAGACUUCCCUCUCCCCAGACACUUCCUCCAGCUCUUCCGGGGGGACACAGAGGCGUUCCCAGGCCAGCCGGGAGACAUAGUCCCUCCAGCG